CGGUUCCACACUUCUACACUUUCUUAGCCACCGCUCGUCGCCCAACACUUCUUCCCCAUCUUCAAUAGCUCCAUCCGACACCGCUUACCAUCCCCACUUCCCCUGCCUCCCAGCAGCCCACAUCGGGUAUUCGGGUUGCGUCCUCCAGCAGCCUGCCUCCGAGGACGUCCUCGCCCAGCCUAAACUUGUCGCCACGAGGUGGUCUCGGCCAGCCUACAGCUCGUAUCUGCAAGGAGGUCAUCCAGAAGCUCGUCGCGUCAUGUCCGUGGAGGUCCUUGUAACAUCGCCUCUUCAGUCCACGUCCUCCAAGCUCUAGCUAGUCGCCCGUCACGAGUCCACCGUCCUCCACCAGCCUGCGUCCUCUAGGCUCCAGCUCCGCACUCCAAUACUCUACAAGGCACCUCCACGCCUCUCCACUAGGCCCCACUUCCGACAGCUGUUGCGCAACCUUCACAACUGUGGUAAAAAAUUGUUUGUCUUCUCUUUUAUUGUAUUACUGAUCAUAUAUGUUUCCAGUUUUUGUCUUGUCUGAAUUUCGAGCUUUGGCUAAUAUAUCUGCAUUUUAGGCUUUGGGUAAUAUUUG
rnacentral:misc_RNA from 1 species